ensembl:snRNA U1 U1 spliceosomal RNA
AUGCUUACCUGGCAGGGGAGAUACCAUGAUCAUGAAGGUGGUUUUCCUAGAGUGAGGCUUAUCCAUUGCACUCUGGGUGUGCUGACCCUUGGGAUUUCCCCAAAUGUGGGAAAAUUGACCGCAUAAUUUGUGGUAGUGGGGGACUGCAUUUAUGCUCUCCCCCC